ensembl:lncRNA
GUGGUGUAGGUCUGCGCCCUGGAACUAUACCUGGGCUGCCAAAGCAGAGCACGCUGAACUUAACCACUAGGCAACCAGGCCAGCCCCUGGAACAGGUUUCCACCAGGUGUGAAGGCUCCCUGCCCUUCCAAGGCUGACAUGUCCCCGAUAUUUCCACUGCAGAGCUGGGACAUGUUAGCUGGAUCAGCGAGGAGUAAGAUGGGAACAGCAUGCCAGGGCCGCUGCAGAACCCAGUCUGCCUGCUCUGCCGCCUCCUUGCACUAGGCCACGUCCCCUCCUCUUGCUGAACCUCAAUUUCUCCAGCAGUAAAGCAAGGGGACUGGAUGGAUGAUCUCUAGAAUCCUCUUUUUUUUUUUUUUUUUUUGAGGAAGAUUAGCCCUGAGCUAACUACUUCUGUCUUCCUCUUUUUUUUUGCUGAGGAAGCCUGGCCCUGAGCUAACAUCCAUGCCCAUCUUCCUCUACUUUAUACAUUGGACGCCUACCACAGUAUGGCGUGCCAAACCAUGCCAUGUCGGCACCCGGGAUCUGAACCGGCGAACCCUGGGCCACUGAGAAGCAGAACGUGCAAACUUAGCCGCUGUGCUACCGGGCCGGCCCUCUAGAAUCCUCUGACCAUGACUGACUGCCAACCUGCCUCGCCAAAGCUCUUGGCACCCUUGCUCCACUCUUCGGGCCGAGUCGGUCAAGGCGAGCGCACUCCUGUCUGUUGCUUGCGAGUGGCUGGCCACGCUGGGUUGGGCUUUAUCCCCCACCCAACCCUGGCCCUGCAGGCCCUUGCUCAUGACCUGGCCGGCCGCUUCCCUGCAUUGACCUCUGAGGGAGGCCUUUCUGUCUCUCAGAGCUCUUGUGGGCACCUCCAGAGAAGGUAAGAAGAGAGAAAGCCAUUCGAGGAGUAGAAAGGCUCCCUUGAAGGCUGGGGUGACAGUCCUUUCUCUCCAGUGUCUGGGAUCUCAGCAGGGGGCCCAGCCUGGGCUUCUCUGCCAUCUGCAGUGGACAUUGGGAAUGUGACACCACAAGGGAGGCCCAGUGAGGGCCACUGAGACAGGAGGGAGCUCGCUGGUGACCACUUUCCAUAUGUGGCUUCGGUGGUCAUGACAGCCCUGGCAAAGCAAGGCUAUUAUCCUCAUCUUACAGACAAGGAAACUGAGGCCCAGAGAGACCAAGGACCUUAUCCAAGGUCACACAGCUAGAAGUGGCAGAGCAGAGAUUUGAACCCAAGCCUGUCUGGGACUUGGACCACCUAGGAAAAUCCAGGAGCUGUGGUCACCACUGGCACAUGCCGCAAAGCUUGGGAAGCUCCCUGACACUUCAGCACUUGGCUGUUUCUUAUUUAUACCGCCUGCCCACUUCCAGAAUUUGGAGUCAGCUUCCCAGAAAGCCGUGAUGUUAAAGGAAUAGCAGAGAAUCAGAGGCACAAAGCUUUGGAGGCAGCAGAGGUCUGGCGGGACUGGGGUGGGAACGUGCGCCAGCUCCCGCUGAGAACUGGGCAGCGAUGGUGUCACAGAGCCUGGUGAAGUCCCCCAGUUGCUGGGAGGCCCGGCUGUUUGCAGCUUCCAGCUUGAAUGAGUGCUCACAAGGUGUGUGCUGAAGUGAAAGUCAGUCCUUUCCUGCUUGCACCCGGGGGAGUCCCCACAACGUCGCAGCCCCCAGUCCAUGCCCAGCAUUCAGUUCGUCUGGAACCUUCCCCUCAGCCAGGCUUUGUUUUCUGGCUCGCGGGUUCCUGUGAAGUAACGGGAAGAGAGAGCGUCGGACUUGGUGUCAGAGACACGUGGGACAUUGAGUCUUUCCCACCUGGGGAUGUGACUCGACCAAGGGAUGUACCGCUGAGCGGCAGCUUCCUCAAAUCUGAAUCGGAGCCACGGGGCUGGCGUCAGCCUAGCGUCCAUUCUCCCUUCUCCCGCCAACAGCACCCCGAUGCCCUUGGGGAGUUGCCCUUCCCCACCCUCUGGUUAACAUGGGGCUGACCCUCUCCCCUGGGCUCCACGAAGGGCCUGGACUCCGGCCUUGCCCAUCUCACCUUACCUCCUGGCCACAGUGGCUGAUAUCAGGAAUCAGCCGCAUGACUCGAGCCAGACCAGGAGAGCCAGGCCUGCGACCUUUGUUGAAACUUGGGAAAGUGGCAGGGGGUGGAGGGAUGUGUUCCGCUGCUGGGGCAGCUAAGCUGGUGUCUCUGGUGGCCAUCUUACUACCAUGAGCGGGCCCUGCCUGAGAGUGUACCCAGCCCAGAGGAGAGCACACAGGAUAAGACAUUGACUCCUGAUGACAUUGUUUGGGCAUCAUGAUCCAGCCAUGCCUGAAGCUGGUAUGCUCUAGACUUGUUAGUAUCUUAAGCUUGACUUAGAUCAUUUAUAAAACUAAGAAUCCAGAGAACCCUAAUUUCCCAUCUUUUGAGACUCCUUUGUAAGCAUGGGAAAUUUUAAUCAAUUUACAUCAGAUAUUAAGUGCUGCUUCUUACCUGUGGACACAGUCAUGAACUUUUUUUUCAUUAAAAAGUAUUUCAUUAGAAAAAAAAAUCUCAGGGCCGGCCCGGUGG